CAGCACCUCAAGUGGUCAGGAUGAUUAUUGGGCCUAAAGCAUCCGUAGCCGGCUCUGUAAGUUUUCGGUUAAAUCUGUACGCUCAACGUACAGGCUGCCGGGAAUACUGCAGAGCUAGGGAGUGGGAGAGGUAGACGGUACUCGGUAGGAAGGGGUAAAAUCCUUUGAUCUAUUGAUGACCACCUGUGGCGAAGGCGGUCUACCAGAACACGUCCGACGGUGAGGGAUGAAAGCCAGGGGAGCGAACCGGAUUAGAUACCCGAGUAGUCC
rnacentral:rRNA from 1 species